GGAAUGAAGUUUUAGUGACUGAGUGGCGGACGGGUGAGUAACGCGUGGGUAACCUGCCUCACACAGGGGGAUAACAGUUGGAAACGGCUGCUAAUACCGCAUAAGCGCACAGUACCGCAUGGUACAGUGUGAAAAACUCCGGUGGUGUGAGAUGGACCCGCGUCUGAUUAGCUAGUUGGCAGGGUAGCGGCCUACCAAGGCGACGAUCAGUAGCCGACCUGAGAGGGUGACCGGCCACAUUGGGACUGAGACACGGCCCAAACUCCUACGGGAGGCAGCAGUGGGGAAUAUUGCACAAUGGGGGAAACCCUGAUGCAGCGACGCCGCGUGAGCGAAGAAGUAUUUCGGUAUGUAAAGCUCUAUCAGCAGGGAAGAAGAAAUGACGGUACCUGACUAAGAAGCACCGGCUAAAUACGUGCCAGCAGCCGCGGUAAUACGUAUGGUGCAAGCGUUAUCCGGAUUUACUGGGUGUAAAGGGAGCGCAGGCGGAAGGCUAAGUCUGAUGUGAAAGCCCGGGGCUCAACCCCGGUACUGCAUUGGAAACUGGUCAUCUAGAGUGUCGGAGGGGUAAGUGGAAUUCCUAGUGUAGCGGUGAAAUGCGUAGAUAUUAGGAGGAACACCAGUGGCGAAGGCGGCUUACUGGA
rnacentral:rRNA from 1 species